rnacentral:rRNA from 1 species
GAUGAACGCUAGCGGGAGGCCUAACACAUGCAAGCCGAGCGGUAUUUGUCUUUCGGGACAGAGAGAGCGGCGUACGGGUGCGGAACACGUGUGCAACCUGCCUUUAUCUGGGGGAUAGCCUUUCGAAAGGAAGAUUAAUACCCCAUAAUAUAAUGAAUGGCAUCCUUUAUUAUUGAAAACUCCGGUGGCUAGAGAUGGGCACGCGCGAGAUUAGAUAGUUGGUGAGGUAACGGCUCACCAAGUCGAUGAUCUUUAGGGGGCCUGAGAGGGUGAUCCCCCACACUGGUACUGAGACACGGACCAGACUCCUACGGGAGGCAGCAGUGAGGAAUAUUGGACAAUGGGUUAGCGCCUGAUCCAGCCAUCCCGCGUGAAGGACGACGGCCCUGUGGGUUGUAAACUUCUUUUGUACAGGGAUAAACCUACUCUCGUGAGAGUAGCUGAAGGUACUGUACGAAUAAGCACCGGCUAACUCCGUGCCAGCCGCCGCAGUAA